GAUGAACGCUGGCGGCGUGCCUAAUACAUGCAAGUCGAGCGGUAAGGCUCCUGCAGUUUAUUUGAUUAUGAUUGCGCUCGCAGAGUAAACCAGUUUACUGGUGUGCGAAGCGAAGGCAAUCACAACAGACCCAAUCAACCCCGGCUAGGGAAGAGACGGCGAGGGAAAAUCGAAUGAAGUGCUGGAGUACACGAGCGGCGGACGGCUGAGUAACGCGUAGGAACGUACCCCAAACUGAGGGAUAAGCACCAGAAAUGGUGUCUAAUACCGCAUGUGCUCUAAGGAGUAAAGCUUCGGCGGUUUGGGAACGGCCUGCGUACGAUUAGAUUGUUGGUGAGGUAAUGGCUCACCAAGUCGACGAUCGUUAGCUGGUCUGAGAGGAUGAUCAGCCAGACUGGGACUGAGAACGGCCCAGACUCCUACGGGAGGCAGCAGUAGGGAAUUUUCCACAAUGGACGAAAGUCUGAUGGAGCAACGCCGCGUGCA
rnacentral:rRNA from 1 species